UACGGGGGGGGGCAAGCGUUGUUCGGAAUUACUGGGCGUAAAGGGCUCGUAGGCGGCCAACUAAGUCAGACGUGAAAUCCCUCGGCUUAACCGGGGAACUGCGUCUGAUACUGGUUGGCUUGAGUUUGGGAGAGGGAUGCGGAAUUCCAGGUGUAGCGGUGAAAUGCGUAGAUAUCUGGAGGAACACCGGUGGCGAAGGCGGCAUCCUGGACCAACACUGACGCUGAGGAGCGAAAGCCAGGGGAGCAAACGGG
rnacentral:rRNA from 1 species